AUUGAACGCUGGCGGCAGGCCCAACACAUGCAAGUCGAACGGUAACAGGAAGCAGCUUGCUGCUUUGCUGACGAGUGGCGGACGGGUGAGUAAUGUCUGGGAAACUGCCUGAUGGAGGGGGAUAACUACUGGAAACGGUAGCUAAUACCGCAUAACGUCGCAAGACCAAAGAGGGGGACCUUCGGGCCUCUUGCCAUCGGAUGUGCCCAGAUGGGAUUAGCUAGUAGGUGGGGUAACGGCUCACCUAGGCGACGAUCCCUAGCUGGUCUGAGAGGAUGACCAGCCACACUGGAACUGAGACACGGUCCAGACUCCUACGGGAGGCAGCAGUGGUGAAUAUUGCACAAUGGGCGCAAGCCUGAUGCAGCCAUGCCGCGUGUAUGAAGAAGACCUUCGGGUUGUAAAGUACUUUCAGCGGGGAGGAAGGGAGUAAAGUUAAUACCUUGGCUCAUUGACGUUACCCGCAGAAGAAGCACCGGCUAACUCCGUG
rnacentral:rRNA from 1 species